GAUGAACGCUGGCGGCGUGCCUAAUACAUGCAAGUCGAGCGAACAGACGAGGAGCUUGCUCCUCUGACGUUAGCGGCGGACGGGUGAGUAACACGUGGAUAACCUACCUAUAAGACUGGGAUAACUUCGGGAAACCGGAUCUAAUACCGGAUAAUAUAUUGAACCGCAUGGUUCAAUAGUGAAAGACGGUUUUGCUGUCACUUAUAGAUGGAUCCGCGCCGCAUUAGCUAGUUGGUAAGGUAACGGCUUACCAAGGCAACGAUGCGUAGCCGACCUGAGAGGGUGAUCGGCCACACUGGAACUGAGACACGGUCCAGACUCCUACGGGAGGCAGCAGUAGGGAAUAUUCCGCAAUGGGCGAAAGCCUGACGGAGCAACGCCGCGUGAGUGAUGAAGGUCUUCGGAUCGUAAAACUCUGUUAUUAGGGAAGAACAAAUGUGUAAGUAACUAUGCACGUCUUGACGGUACCUAAUCAGAAAGCCACGGCUAACUACGUG
rnacentral:rRNA from 1 species